rnacentral:rRNA from 1 species
CAUGAAGCUGGAAUCGCUAGUAAUCGCGAAUCAGAAUGUCGCGGUGAAUACGUUCCCGGGUCUUGUACACACCGCCCGUCACACCAUGGGAGUCGGAAAUGCCCAAAGUCAGUGACCUAACCGAAAGGGAGGAGCUGCCGAAGGUGGAGCCGGUAACUGGGGUGAAGUCGUAACAAGGUACC